UCCACUGGAGUUUAUUACACAAGCCCAGGAUUGGGUGAAUUCUGUGGCUGGAUGCUAUUUUUUCCCCCUGCUGUGUUCUUACUGCCUUGUACAGCAGCAUGAGGAGGUAUGAUCUGCAUUCAAGCAAGUCUACUUCCAGCUUCUCACAGCCUCUUCUGGGGAUGAACUGGGAAGUCUGGAUGCACAAAGCAGAGCACAUUUGUCAUGGAUGGAAACAACUAUGCUAUACAUUUCACAUUUCUCUUGUAAGAGAGAAACAGGAGUAUAUUUAUUGAUUGUAAUAUAGAUAUCAUGGAGUGAUUUAACAAUGACUUAGUAAGAUUUGAGAUGGCUGGAUGGACCUGAUUAUUUAUUGCACAGAUAGUAGGGUUAAAACACAGAUAUUGGAGACCCUUCUGUUGGGUCAUGAGGUUCAGAGUGGACCCCCUUUCUUUCUUACCUUUUGGUUCUAGGAAUUUAGGAGCCUAGGUGCAGUUGAGCCCAAUCCUACCCCCAGACUUGGUCGAUGAUUUAUGUUGAAGGGAUCAUGUGUGCACAAUCAAUGAUCUAAUCUUAGCAAAGCUAACAAAGCUUAAAGCCAUCAGUCACUUCCUGAGUAUCUGUAUCAGCAAAAUGUCUUGAUGUCAAAGUGUAAGGGAUC